UCCUACAGAUGAGCAAAGAGAGUGGUUUCUUGAGAAGGAAACUACUCUUGGUGAAGAUGCCGUGAA
rnacentral:pre_miRNA from 1 species